UUCCGGACCUGGGAUUCCUGGCAGUGCCUUCUGAUGGAGAUAAUCAAAGAGCGCUGUCUCUCUCUCUCUCUCGCACAAAAACAGCUACAGACACUUCUCUCCAACACGACGGUCUAAAACCACGCAGCUAACUCUAGCAGCUAAUGAAACGCAAUGGUGAGAAUGUAAAGAAGGAUAGAGGGAAAGAAUAAGAGAGAGAGAAUGGGAGAGAAAAAGACAGAGAGAGAGAGAGAGAGAGGGAUAGUGAGAGGGGGAGGGGGAGUGAGAGAGGGAGUGUGUGAG
rnacentral:lncRNA from 1 species